rnacentral:rRNA from 1 species
AUACGGAGGAUCCGAGCGUUAUCCGGAUUUAUUGGGUUUAAAGGGUGCGCAGGCGGCCAUUUAAGUCAGCGGUUAAAUCGUGGAGCUCAACCCCAUUCUGCCGUUGAUACUGGGUGGCUUGAUUGCGGUCGAGGUUGGCGGAAUUCGUUGUGUAGCGGUGAAAUGCAUAGAUAUGACGAAGAACACCGAUUGCGUAGGCAGCUGACCAGACCGCAAAUGACGCUCAUGCACGAAAGUGCGGGGAUCGAACAGGAUUAGAUACCCUGGUAGUCCGCACAGUAAACGAUGAAUACUUGUUUUCGGCGAUAUAAUGUCGGAGGCAAAGCGAAAGCGAUAAGUAUUCCACCUGGGGAGUACGCCGGCAACGGUGAAACUUAAAGGAAUUGACGGGG